rnacentral:SRP_RNA from 1 species
GCUGGGUGUGGUGGUGCACACCUGUAAUCCCAGCUAUUCAGGAGGCUGAGGCAGGAUAAUUGCUUGAACCCAGGAGGCAGAGGUUGCAGUGAGCUGAGAUCGCGCCACUGCACUCUGCCUGGGGUGACAGAGCAAGACUCUGUCUCAA